AGGAAAUGGCAGAACAGGGCUACAUGGCUAUAACAAUGCUGCAACAUCAAUAGCCUGCAAGGGCCCCAGGUUGGAAUCCAACUCAGGCCGCUGCUAUGGGCUCAGCCCACAUGUGGCACACACUCUAUCUGCCUCUACACUGGAACAACCUUCUUCAAAGUGUCAGGACAACAAAAUCCACAGCGAUUAAAAAAAACACUUUUCCUCUGCAGCCUUUCACUGUGACUGAUGUGUUUUUCCCGCUUUUUUGAAACAUGCUUGGUCUUCUUUGUUCAGCUUGUUUCUUGUUUGUUAAAUUGUCUUUCAAACUGUCAAAGCGUUAUGGUGGAGUCACUAAAUAAUAAAGAGGAUUUCAGGGAUCAUGUGACCGUCCACAUACCCACCAGAGAAUGUAUUGUGUAUGAUGACAUCUUUGAGACAGUGUAAAUAAUAUAAAACUUAGUGCUACGGUGUCAUAGUUUAGGAAACACAGAAGCUGCCAGGAAGUAUAAGGAAACAAGGAGAACUGGUGUGAAUGGCUGUUUGUUAAAAAAAAAAAAGAAAACAAAAAAAAAGAAAUAAAAUAAAAUAAACUGACUGGUCUAAAAAGGUGACACCAAAAAGUGCAAGGCUGUGCAUCACCAGUCAGAGUGCAACCACCAGGGCGAGGGAACAGCUGAGGACAACGACACUGCUGACAGUCACUGAGAUGAAAUGUUCAUUCUGAAGGCAUUCAGCCACGACCAGAGAAGGCAACUGCCACACAGACCCAGAGCCCCAAAACUUCAAAACCCCAAAACCCCAG